rnacentral:rRNA from 1 species
UAUUCGUUCCGGUACGUGCGCUGGAAGGUUUUGGCGAAGGCGAAAUCCAGGCGACCAUUAGCGGUCUGAAUCUGCCGGGAGAAACCCUCGGCGCGCAGCAUAAGCAGUGGCAAAUCGGCGUGCGUCCGGCCUGGCCUGCCCAAACGGUAAAUAGCGGCAUUGCGCUGGCGCCGGGAGAGAGCUGGCAUGUACCAGAGCAGCAUCUGGCAAACGUCUCGCCAGCCACGUUACAGGGACAACUGCUGUUAAGCGGAAAACCGCCGCUCAAUCUGGCGCGCUACAUUCGCGAGCUGAAAGCAUAUCCGUACGGGUGCCUGGAACAAACCACCAGCGGGUUAUUCCCGGCGCUGUAUACCAAUGCCGCUCAAUUGCAGUCGCUCGGUAUUACCGGCGAUAGCGAUGAAAAACGGCGCGCCGCGGUGGAUAUCGGCAUCUCCCGCAUACUACAGAUGCAGCGUGAUAACGGCGGUUUUGCGCUAUGGGAUGAAAAUGGGGCGGAAGAGCCCUGGCUAACGGCCUACGCGAUGGAUUUCCUCAUUCGCGCGGGCGAGCAGGGAUAUAGCGUCCCGCCGGAGGCCAUUAACCGGGGCAAUGAGCGACUGCUGCGCUAUCUGCAGGAUCCCGGUACGAUGCUGAUUCGUUAUAGCGAUAAUACCCAGGCCAGUACUUUUGCCGCUCAGGCUUACGCCGCGCUGGUACUGGCGCGUCAGCAGAAAGCGCCGCUCGGCGCGCUGCGCGAAAUCUGGGAGCGCCGUAGUCAGGCGGCUUCAGGACUGCCGCUGAUGCAAUUGGGCAUCGCGUUAAACACGAUGGGUGAUGCCAGACGCGGCGAAGAGGCCAUUACGCUGGCUCUGAAUACGCCGCGUCAGGACGAACGGCAAUGGAUAGCGGAUUACGGCAGUUCUCUGCGCGAUAACGCUCUGAUGUUGUCGUUACUGGAAGAGAACAACCUCAGACCGGACGCGCAAAACGCGCUAUUAAGCUCGCUUUCUGAGCAGGCCUUCGGUCAGCGCUGGCUCUCUACCCAGGAGAACAAUGCCUUGUUCCUCGCCGCGCAUUCGCGACAGGCCAGCGCGGGCGCCUGGCAGGCGCAGACCUCGUUAGAGGCGCAGCCGCUGUCGGGCGACAAGGCGCUGACCCGUAAUCUGGAUGCUGACCAGCUGGCCGCCCUUGAGGUGACGAACACCGGUAGCCAGCCGCUAUGGCUGCGUCUGGAUAGCAGCGGCUAUCCCUCAUCUGCGCCUGAGCCUGCCAGCAACGUUUUGCAGAUUGAACGACAAAUACUGGGGACCGAUGGUCAGCGUAAAUCGCUGUCCUCGUUGCGUAGCGGCGAACUGGUGCUGGUCUGGUUAACGGUAGUGGCCGAUCGCAAUGUGCCGGAUGCGCUGGUGGUGGACCUGCUCCCGGCCGGGCUGGAGCUGGAAAACCAGAAUCUGGCUGACAGCAGCGCCAGCCUGCCGGAGAGCGGUAGCGAAGUGCAAAAUCUGCUUAAUCAGAUGCAGCAGGCGGAUAUUCAGUAUAUGGAAUUCCGCGACGAUCGGU